GACAUUAGCCUCUCCCUGUCGCCCCUGAGCCAUCUCCGUAAGUUCAAAGUCCUGCAGUACAAGUGCAACCAAGGGACAGUGGUCCUGGUGGCCACCUCUGUGUCCUCAUAGAAGAUCAAUGGCAUUAUUCGGAUAUUCUGGAAGAACAGCUUUGGAGGACAGAUUUCACUUUGCAACAGGGAGAGUUGUCAUGCCAGUUUUGUGCCUCUCCCAGGGGACCACGGGAGCCCUUGGAUUUUUCUCCCAAGACAGCGGAAGCCUUUGGGGAGUUGGUGCUUCUGUGACUCUGUCCCUUUGGCUCACGGCGUGUGCAAGUGCAGAGCGAACUGAACUUAGGAGAGAGACACCCAGGAGAUCAGGGAGAUGGUGGUGCCCUUGCAGUGGAGGCAAGAGACGCGGGCAGCAUAGGAUGAUCCUGUGGGUACAGCCCUCUGGGCUCGCUGGUGGCUGGAGGAGAGUGGCCAGGGCCGGGGUCGGGGGACAUAACCAAGACUCGUGUGAGGCCGAGGCGGGGGCCUGAGAUGGAGGGAGGCUUCACGGGAGAUGAGGAUGUGGAAGGGGGCGGCUGGAGCGACAUCUUCGACAUCUUCAGAGUCCUCAGAGUAAAGGUGGUUUUUAAAGCUACAGGACGACCCCAUGCCCAACUCCCCGGCAGCCUGAGCUGUGUGAGUUUUAGGUGGGUCCUGCCCUGUGGCCGCCAGGCUGUGGGGAAGCUUGUGAUGACCGGGACCUCUAAGACCGUCCUCGACCUCCAGGGCCCACAGGUCCUCAGCAGUCUCGGCCUCUGGCCUCCCGUUUGCUCACUGGUGCUGGGCCCAUGCUGACUCCACUCCCACUGUGGCCUUUGCGCCCUUGUGCACACCGGGCCUUGCACUUGCUGCUCCCUCUGCCCGCUCCAUCCCGCUUCCUGCAUCACUGGACCGCCCCCCCCAACACUGUUCUAAUAGCAUUUAAAAUGGGAAAAAGGAGUUCCCCGUGUGGCUCAGUGGUUAAUGAAUCCUACUAGGAACGAUGAGGCCAGGGAUCAAACCCGUGUCCUCAUGCAUCCUAAUCAUGUUUGAUGAAGGGAACUCUUUAUACUUUAAUAAAAAAGAAAAAAAAA
rnacentral:lncRNA from 1 species